AGUGAACGCUGGCGGUAGGCCUAACACAUGCAAGUCGAACGGCAGCACAGAGGAGCUUGCUCCUUGGGUGGCGAGUGGCGGCCGGGUGAGGAAUACAUCGGAAUCUACCCUGUCGUGGGGGAUAACGUAGGGAAACUUACGAUAAUACCGCAUACGACCUACGGGUGAAAGCAGGGGAUCUUCGGACCUUGCGCGAAGGAAUGAGCCGAUGUCGGAUUAGCUAGUGGGCGGGGUAAAGGCCCACCAAGGCGACGAUCCGUAGCUGGUCUGAGAGGAUGAUCAGCCACACUGAAACUGAGAAACGGUCCAGACUCCUACGGGAGGCAGCAGUGGGGAAUAUUGGACAAUGGGCGCAAGCCUGAUCCAGCCAUACCGCGUGGGUGAAGAAGGCCUUCGGGUUGUAAAGCCCUUUUGUUGGGAAAGAAAUCCAUCUGGUUAAUACCCGGGUGGGAUGACGGUACCCAAAGAAUAAGCACCGGCUAACUUCGUGCCAGCAGCCGCAGUAA
rnacentral:rRNA from 1 species